rnacentral:tRNA from 1 species
GGGCCGUUAGCUCAAUUGGUAGAGCAAGUGACUCUUAAUCACUAGGUCCGCGGUUCGAUCCCGCGACGGCCCACCA